rnacentral:rRNA from 1 species
AACGAACGCUGGCGGCAGGCUUAACACAUGCAAGUCGAACGGGCACCUUCGGGUGUCAGUGGCAGACGGGUGAGUAACGCGUGGGAACGUACCCUUCGGUUCGGAAUAACCCAGGGAAACUUGGGCUAACACCGGAUACGUCCGCAAGGAGAAAGAUUUAUCGCCGAAGGAUCGGCUCGCGUCGGAUUAGCUAGUUGGUGGGGUAAUGGCCCACCAAGGCGACGAUCCGUAGCUGGUCUGAGAGGANGAUCAGCCACACUGGGACUGAGACACGGCCCAGACUCCUACGGGAGGCAGCAGUGGGGAAUAUUGGACAAUGGGCGAAAGCCUGAUCCAGCCAUGCCGCGUGAGUGAAGAAGGCCUUAGGGUUGUAAAGCUCUUUCAGCGGGAAGACAAUGACGGUACCCGCAGAAG